UAGAAAGCCACCACAGAUCUAGGCAUCUAAGCAGGAAUAGGAGAGGAAAGGCAACUGUAGCCACAUUAAUCACUUUUAUCAGGAAGAUAAAUGCUUUUCCCGAAUCUUUCAACAGGCUUUCAUUUUACAUUGGGCAUAUUUUUGUCAUAUAGCCUUCCCUAGCUGCAAGGGAGGCUUUUCAAACUUCUUUAUGGAAUUCAGCAAGAAAGUAAAGAGCAAUCCUGUUAUUUUUUCAAGCAAAAAAG
rnacentral:lncRNA from 1 species